CUUCCGGUGAUCCCGCCGGACCCGACUGCUAUCAGAGUGGGACUAAGCCAUGCGAGUCAACAUAGCAAUAUGUGGCAUACGGCUCAGUAACACGUAGUCAACAUGCCCAGGGGACGUGGAUAACCUCGGGAAACUGAGGAUAAACCGCGAUAGGUCAUCACUUCUGGAAUGGGUAAUGACUUAAAUCUAUAUGGCCCCUGGAUUGGACUGCGGCCGAUCAGGCUGUUGGUGAGGUAAUGGCCCACCAAACCUGUAACCGGUACGGGCUCUGAGAGGAGGAGCCCGGAGAUGGGCACUGAGACAAGGGCCCAGGCCCUAUGGGGCGCAGCAGGCGCGAAACCUCUGCAAUAGGCGAAAGCUUGACAGGGUUACUCUGAGUGAUUUCCGUUAAGGAGAUCUUUUGGCACCUCUAAAAAUGGUGCAGAAUAAGGGGUGGGCAAGUCUGGUGUCAGCCGCCGCGGUAAUACCAGCACCCCGAGUGGUCGGGACGUUUAUUGGGCCUAAAGCAUCCGUAGCCGGUUCUACAAGUCUUCCGUUAAAUCCACCUGCUUAACAGAUGGGCUGCGGAAGAUACUAUAGAGCUAGGAGGCGGGAGAGGCAAGCGGUACUCGAUGGGUAGGGGUAAAAUCCGUUGAUCCAUUGAAGACCACCAGUGGCGAAGGCGGCUUGCCAGAACGCGCUCGACGGUGAGGGAUGAAAGCUGGGGGAGCAAACCGGAUUAGAUACCCGGGUAGUCCCAGCUGUAAACGAUGCAGACUCGGUGAUGAGUUGGCUUAUUGCUAACUCAGUGCCGCAGGGAAGCCGUUAAGUUUGCCGCCUGGGGAGUACGGUCGCAAGACUGAAACUUAAAGGAAUUGGCGGGGGAGCA
rnacentral:rRNA from 1 species